AGUUUCUUGCAAUAAGGAGACCAGGGAAAACAAAGGAGCUGGGGGGGAGGGGGAAGCCAGUCUACGGGAGGGGGGCUCAGCAGUUGGUCUUCAUGGGAAAGGCUCCCCUCCCUCUGGGUGUCCCCUGGCCCUCUGGGGCCUGAUUUGGACACUGGGGCAGAAAGGAGGAGCUGGGGCCCAAAGCUGCCUCCUGAGGGGGUUUUAGACCAUGGGUCCCUUCACCCUGCGGGUUGUAUCUGAAAUCACUCCCCAGCCCCUGAAAUCUGCAGGGGAGAACACUUUUCUGGGGGGCAGGGCUGGGCCUGGGCCCCAGGCCGUGGAUUUGGGGCUUUGCCAGGAACAGAACAGUACCUGUGAAGGUCUCUCCCCCCACUGCCCUCCCUGCUGGAGGAGCUGGCAUUUGACCCUCUUUCCCCACCCUGGCUUUAUGUUGCUCCGGCUGCUCUCACUUUCUUGUCCUUCGGGCUGCCCCGUCCAGCAGCCAGGGUGGGACUGAGAACAGCCUCCCUUCCCCGAGCGCUCCAAACUCUGGCCAGCCAUACUUCUGGCCUGGGCUCCCAGACAAUGCCGCCGUGCAGCCCAUUGUGUGGGCGUCUGGUCUGCAGAGAAAACAGCUUCUUUUGAUUGUGAGCGGAGCCCAGAGGGGGAGACGGCUGCUCCGUCAGUUUCCUUCCCUUCCCCUGGAGUCCUGCACUGCAUGCACGCCCUCCCCCCACAGAAAUAUUUUUACUCUGGCAUUGAUGUGCUUGCCAGGAUUUUUCCUGACUGAAGCAGUUUCAGUUCAGAGCCACUGAUCUUUGCAGAAGCGGGGGCUCCUCUAGAUCAGUGGUUCUCAACCUGGGCCCCCCUGGGAGGGGCCGUGAGCAGGUUUCGGGGGGCUGCCCAGGGCAGAAAACCAAAGCCCCACCACCUAUGACUUUUCUAUGCAGAAAAACAGUUGUGGCACGGGUGGGCCAUGGAGUUUUUCUAGCAUGAUUUGACGGGGGUCUUGGAAAGAAAAAGGCUGAGAACCCCUGCUCUAAAUCCUUCCCCUCUCUUGCAUGCAGGGGAUGGGUGCCCCUUAAAUCACAGCUGUUCCCAGACUUUGCACGGUGACCCUCACAUGUCACACACUGAGCAAUUCGGGUCCAAGGAGAGGCGUCCUGCCUUUCUCUCUCCCUCCCUCUCCACCGCCAGCUCCACAACGGCCACUCUCAAUUCACAGGCUUGGUGACACACUCGCCGGGUCCUCCGCUGGAGUUUAUUGGGGAACUCCGCUUCAAAGGGGGUUUGCGUUGCCUGGGGGCGGACUCUUGAGAGCACCAAGGUCCGUGGGUAAAGUGAACUCUGGAAUGGAGGGAGUUUGGAGGAGAUGUUCCAUUUGCACCAAAACGCAGAAUUCCCUUCGCUGAGUUGCAAACGGUCCCCUCUGUUUCCAUCGAGCCGGGCUUAUGGGCCUCUUGGUUGGGUUUCCCUUCUGCCUACUUUUCAGAUCAAAAUUCCUAGUGUAUUUGUAAAUGUCCGUCUGUCUCAGAUGUGGCAGUCUAUGAUCCUUCUCCGGCCCCCAUCACCACAGUAGCAAUCAUUAAUGUCUUCAUCCCCCAACUCCCCUGGAGGGAAGGCAGCGCUGUGGUCCCCAUUCAACAGGGAACUGGGGCAUAGAAGCUAAAUGGCUUUUUGCAGGGGGGAGGGGUGUGUUGGCAGAGCAGGGAAUUGAAUCCAGGUCUCCAAGUCCUAGGCUAGCCUCUAACCAUGGGACGCACCAUCCUGCCCCGUUAAACUAAUUACUAGUUAACAUUUAUCUUGCAAUAGCAUCUAGAAGCCCCACUGUCCUAGGUGCUGCACAGACACAGCAUAAGGGAGAGUCCUUGCACCAAAGAGCUUACGGUAUAAAUAGACAAGACAACAGGGGAGGGAAACUGAGGCACGGAGCUGAGACAUGACUGGCCCAAGGCUAUGCAGCAGAUCAGAGCACUGGACUGGGAACCAGCACUGCCGCUAUCUACUAGAUCCUUGGAAACUGUCAAUCUCUCUCUAGCCACAGGUCUGCUCCCUGGGGUGAUCCCAGUCCAGCGUAGACGGGGGGCCUUGGAAUCUUGCAUCACUCGGCUCAUGGAUUUUUAUGCCCCUCGUGUUUAAAAUGCUGCUUAGCUCCCCCUCGCCGCUUGUCCCCGAUCAGAACCAGCCUGCUCAUUGAAAGCCCUCUGAUUUUCCAAGUGUUGGACGGGGGGGCCAGGAAGCUGGGUUACACCCCGGGUUGACUGGAUUUGCUGGGUGCCUCUGCCUGACUCUGCUAGCUUCCUCCUGACCCUGCCUCUUUGGUUCUGCAGAACACAAGGUGAUCAUUGUUGGCCUGGACAAUGCAGGGAAGACCACCAUCCUCUACCAGUUCCUCAUGAACGAGGUGGUGCACACCUCACCCACCAUCGGCAGCAACGUGGAGGAGAUCAUCUUGAGGAAGACCCACUUCCUGAUGUGGGACAUCGGGGGGCAGGAGACGCUGCGGUCCACGUGGAACACGUACUACUCCAACACGGAGUUUGUCAUCCUGGUGAUCGACAGCACCGACCGCGAGCGGCUGACGGUGACGAAAGAGGAGCUGUACAAGAUGCUGGCCCACGAGGACCUGCAGAACGCGGCGGUCUUGAUAUUUGCCAACAAGCAGGAUGUAAAGAACUCCAUGACUACCUCUGAGAUCUCCAAGUUCCUAACCCUCAGCUCCAUCAAGGACCACCCAUGGCACAUCCAGGGCUGCUGCGCCCUCACGGGAGAGGGGUGAGUGCACCACAGAGUAAACUAAGCGGUCCCUUUUGGUGCCUAAGUGUCCUGUGGAACUCUCUCCCACAAGACAGAAGUGAGGCAGAGCUUAAUGGCAUUCAGCAAAAGGUUAGGGCCUGCCAGCUGGCUUGGAGUGGAUGAAGUCUCGAGUAGCAGCCAACUGACACGUCUGGCCAGACAUAUGACGGAACAGUGCAAAGCUCUCAAGCAUCUUAUUUAUUUUUUUAUACAUGUGAGUUUCAGCCUGGACUUUCCUUCUAAAGCAGCUGAAGCUGGGAUUUUGUACGGACAGUGUAUUUCCGAGCCCGGGUCAGCGUGGGAGCUGGUCCCUCCUGGAUUGCAUGUCCGGAAGAAAUCUGGAUCAUAUCUGCUGGGUGGUGGGUCCGUUCUGGAUCGUGUCUCUGAGGGGAAUCGGUUCUGGGUCAUCUCUCUUCUGGAUCACAUCCGCAGAGAGGGAAACCAAUAGGAAGAAAUCUCUGCUCCAGGCCUGCACUUAAGUAAAAGCUGGAACAAAGAAGCCUGGAGCAUGGAAAUUUUACGCACACGCAGGCCCAGUGCAGCUUCCAGCAGAUUUACCAAUAAGCUAUGAAAGAAGAACCUCACCCUCCGGAGUCCGGUUAACAGGAAAUGCCUUAGGUCUUCAGAUGGGGAUUGGGGAUAAACUUUGCUAGAGGGCUGGGGAGGGGGGUAAUAACCUUUAAACCCCGGUGCCCCUCUGCGCUGCCCAUGCUCUUCUCCAAACUCGGGUGGUGUUCGGGGUGAGGAUCUGAAACCUUCGGGACACUGACGUUUCCCAGGAUUUGCUCUGCGAUCAUCCCUGGGUUGCUCAGCGACGCAUCGACCAGCGCGCACUGGAUGUUUCCUACCAUUGGUGCUUUCCCUUGGCCCGUCUGAUCGAGGCCUUGACCAUCUUGUAUUUUAUAUGUUUUAACGCAAGCAGGAAAGGGCCGGCUCCAUGGCUCUAUUCCUGAGUAUUUCUCUCUUCUGCCACGGCCCCGGAGCAAGGACACAGAUCUGGAUUCAGACCCCUCCUCCAGCACCGUUGGAGGGCAGGGAUUCAGUGAGGGUGGGGAAAUACGCAUGGGUGGGAAGAGCUGCCCCGGGGAGCAAAUUUCCCCCUUCACGACGGUUCAUUCCCACCUCUUCCACCAGGAGGCGCUAACGGGUCAGGCCCAGCAGGGCCAGAUCCAAUGCUGCUCGAUCUGUGUGGGACCUGGCAUCAGGACCAAAUCCAAACCCUGGAUCCGGACUCAGGGAUGUUUGGGUCUGACCUAUCCAGCCCGUGUCCCAUUUCUACUGAAGAUCGAGUCUCACUCCGGAGGCAGCAGGAGCUGACGGUCAGGGAGACCCGCCUGGGUUCUGCUCUUGCAGACUUGCGGGGAAAGACUUAGCUCUUCUGUACCUCAGUUUACCCUGUUGGCAAGUGCCUGCCUUUGUAGAGUGACCUGGAAUCCCUGGAUGUGAAGGAUGCUGGAUAAGCACAAAGGACUUGGGGGCGGGGUCACUGUCAGGGGUUCCACUGUUCUCCGGUGCAAUGCUCUAAACUGGUGUGACCCCAAAACCCACUGGAAAGGUGCCCGUUGAAUCCAUUGGGCUCUGGAUCAGCCCCUUAACGAAUCUUCUUCAGUUAAGUGCUUUUAACGAAUUAAACUUGUCCCAUGAAUUUGCAUUUGCACAGGCCCCCUGCCAGGCUCAGAGGAGCGGGACAGCACGUCACAGCUUCCUGCCUUGGGCUCCGAUGGGGUUUUUACCAUUUCUGGGAUGAUCCAUUUGACUCUCCAGUUCUGUAUUUUUUAUAAAACUCGUGUCUUGUAUUUUAUACCUGAUUAAAGGCUCCGCUAUUUAAUUUUUUGCA